rnacentral:tRNA from 1 species
CGGGGUGUAGCGUAGCCCGGUAGCGCGCUUGCAUGGGGUGCAAGAGGUCGCAGGUUCAAAUCCUGCCACUCCGA